CUCAUGUGUUUGCCGGACUGGGCCUAACAACCACUUCAACUUAUUUCUUUCAUAUAAAGCAAAAAUAAAACACCCAGGAGGGCGACUCCCUUUCUGUUGUCAGGGUCCCAACAAUCACUUACUGCUCCUCUGCUUUAUCAAGGUUGGAUCACCCUUUCCCUCAACCAUAUGGAAAACAACGGGAAUUCACCAGGAGUAAGAGGAUAACACAGAGGGAACGGACACCUUGCUGGCAAAACCAUUCUGACCCAUGCAACAACAUCUGCAUUUGAUCACUGUUGGUUGUCCAGAAGUUCUCCGCCUGCCUGAAAUCACAAGACUCAUUGAGUUGAACACAAUCAUCAAAGACAUGAAAAAGCCACCUAACUGACCAAGAGGCUGUAACAUCAGAAAGCACUUAAAACGACAGAAAAAAUAGAGGAGAAAGAUGAUCUUAUGCUCAAGGCAUUGGGCCGAGUCUCUGGAAAUCUGGGUUCAAUCCCUGGCAAUGUAACAGAUUCAGCAUAUGAACUUGGGCAAGUAACUUAAAGUCCUACACACACUUCCAUUUUAGCAAGCUUGCACUCUAACAGAAAACCUUAACAGUGACCUUAGCAAUGUGCAGCAGAAUAGCUUUCCAAAUGCAUGGAAUGUGCGAGACAUGCUGAUCUGUUGACAUAAUAUAAAAGCAUAGGAGGUGA